ensembl:snoRNA
UAGUAUUGGUAGCCUCACUGUAAAUGCUUGCAAAGUAUGAGUGAAUGCUGUAGAAAUCACAGUGGAGUCAAAAGCUUGUGCUUCUCCUGUGGUUGUCUUAUUUCGUACCUGCUGCAUUA